GGUACUGGUUUAGUUCAGUUCUGGGCAUAGC
rnacentral:piRNA from 1 species